GUCUUCGUGGGGUAGUAUCCAGCACGCGGGAUUUGUAUUCCAGAGGUCUGUGGUUCGAGUCCCGGCGAAGGCG
rnacentral:tRNA from 1 species